rnacentral:rRNA from 1 species
GUACACGCUGUGACUAGCAUAUCAAUAAGCGGAGGAAAAGAAACUAACAAGGAUUCCCCUAGUAACGGCGAGUGAAGCGGGAAGAGCUCAAAUUUGAAAUCUUAAAGGGUUUCCCUUUACGAAUUGUAGUUUAAAGAAGUGUUUUCUGUUGAGGUUUUGGUAAAAGUUCUUUGGAAUAGGACAUCAUAGAGGGUGAGAAUCCCGUAUUUGACCUUUACUUUCAACUUUGUGAUACACUUUCAAAGAGUCGGAUUGUUUGGGAAUGCAGUCCAAAAUGGGUGGUAAAUUUCAUCUAAAGCUAAAUAUUGGCGAGAGACCGAUAGCGAACAAGUACCGUGAGGGAAAGAUGAAAAGAACUUUGAAAAGAGAGUUAAACAGUACGUGAAAUUGUCAAAAGGGAAGCGUUUGACACCAGUGUUGUUUUUCUGAAAAUCAAUUAAAGAACUGUUUAUGCUAAGUUGUUUAGACUUUAUCAGCUAACUGUUUAGUUUUGAGCUUUUCUUUAAUGCACUUUUCAGUUAACAAGUCAACAUCAAUUUCUUUUGCUGUAAAAAAGCUUGAGGAAGGUGGCUUGAGAUUCGUCUUAAGUGUUUAUAGCCUCUUGCCUAUGCAGUCGGAGAGAUUGAGGUCUGCAGCGUAGAUCCUUCGGGGCUAAAUGCAUUUGUGCUAAGUUAUAGCAUUUCAUAGACAACUUGUUGACUAUGAUUUGUCCUGUAGCUUACUCGCUUAUGUUAUUUUACCUACGCUUAGGAUGUUGACAGGCAGUAUAGACUGU